rnacentral:tRNA from 1 species
UAAUAUGAAGGAAAAAAUUCCAUUUAAUUUCGACUUAAAAAUUUGAUUUUAUAAAAAAAUCCAUAUUAA